rnacentral:lncRNA from 1 species
AAGAGGGGGCAAGGAAGGAAAACAAAGCUGCAAGCACUGAAGAAUAUUAACAAGAGAAUAAGGUUGCCAGAUUUAACAAAUAAAAAUAUAAAACGCCGGCCAGCUUUUCACUGUGCCCACUGGUCACCCCUUGCUGGGCCUCCAGGGGCCUCAGUAAGGCUGGCCGAGGUACCUGCUGCCCUGCCUGGAACCCACCUCCUUAAGAAUCCUGACUGCCCCACAGGAACCAUGGGCUCCUCAGAGAAAUGGCUGAUUCUAGGACUGGGGCAAGAAAUAUACAAGAUAAAUCUACAUAAAGGAAGUACUAAAAAAAAAUCUCCAAAUCCUACAUUAAAGGGACACAGGAGCCAACUGGAAGAGCUCCCAACGGCCAAAGCCAGAACAACUUGAGAAACAAAAUAAAGUAGGGUCGAGUCAUGACCCAUAAUGACAUAGGUGUCCAUGAGUCAGUGCUGACAGAAAUCAGUGACUGAAUAAACUAAGU